AUAGUGCUCGACAGAGAGUAAUGCUCUACAAAUGGCUCCUGCUUCUUCCCCUUCUCUACCCUCUCCCCCUUCUGCUCUUGCCAUCAUAGGAUUUCAGGGUGUGAAAUCUGCUGGGCCUAAAGGCUGAAUCCUUGGGAUCUCAGGGCAGGUGUGCGUGUGCUGGCGCGUUGAAAAGAGACUGUACAAAUACUGACUUUUAUGACUCAAGGUGGCCACUUGGACCAUUUUGCCCAGUUCGUUUCCCAGGCGAGUCCUGUGCCCCUCAGGCCUGUGGAGCACGGACAGCUGGCUGCCCUGGACAUGCCAGGCAGUGAGUAGAGAUGGUGAGGAAGAUCCGUGUCUGAAGCAGGUGACAGGUGUUCAGAGAACAUUCCCCCAUUGCCUGUUGCCGAGAGCAUCCUGAGACCAGCUGGGGCGAGGAGCAGAGGAAAUCCCCAUGAUUUGGAGCGACCCUGAUUUGAAGAAUAAUUCUCAUAGGAUAGACAACUGUCUGCAAAGGUCCAAUCCGUGGAAUGAAUCCAAGUGUUUGCUCAGAAUGGAAUUUCACCAAAAGCAAUUCAGGCCACAGCUUUGUGUUCAAAA